CCUACGGGAGGCAGCAGUGAGGAAUAUUGGUCAAUGGGCUUACGCCUGAACCAGCCAAGUCGCGUGAGGGAAGACUGCCCUAUGGGUUGUAAACCUCUUUUGUCAGGGAGCAAUUGGCGCUACGUGUAGCGUUAUCGAGAGUACCUGAAGAAAAAGCAUCGGCUAACUCCGUGCCAGCAGCCGCGGUAAUACGGAGGAUGCGAGCGUUAUCCGGAUUUAUGGGGUUUAAAGGGUGCGCAGGCGGAAUGUCAGGUCAGCGGUAAAAUUUCGGGGCUCAACCCCGUCGUGCCGUUGAAACUGGCGUUCUUGAGUGAGCGAGAAGUAUGCGGAAUGCGUGGUGUAGCGGUGAAAUGCAUAGAUAUCACGCAGAACUCCGAUUGCGAAGGCAGCAUACCGGCGCUCAACUGACGCUCAUGCACGAAAGCGUGGGUAUCGAACAGGAUUAGAUACCCGAGUAGUC
rnacentral:rRNA from 1 species